CAAGUCUGGGACUACAGACCAGGAAACUCUGAGCAUAAACCCAGCCCUGGUUACAGCUAUAAAACCUAGAACCCAGGAGUGUACCAUUCACAUUCAAGAUGGAUCUUCCCCCCUCAGUUGGACCUCUCCAGAAACAUACUCACGGCCUCCCAUCUACAGCUGUUCCUAAGCCUUGCAUGGUCUCCCUAGCCAGACAGAAAAAGCAGGGCGCCGCGCACCAGCAACCCACAAGCCUUCGCGAUGGCUCCAAACAGGGACACUGUCGGCAAGUCAACUGCCAGUGCACUCCGCUGUCUACAUUCUGCCAUGUUCUUGAUAAGGCUGCAGAAGCAGUCUGCCAGCUCUUCCUCCUCCUCUUCCUCUUCUUUCUCUUCCUCUUCCUCCUCCUCUGCCCCCUCCCCCUCCUCCUCGUGCCUGCGUUCCUUCUUUGAGACAGGAGCUUGUUUUGUAGGCCAGGCUGGCCUUGAACUAUGAAUCCUCCUGCCUCAGACUCCCCAACUGUUACAGUUGCAGCCAUGGGCCCAAUAUACCACUUUCAUGACGCACAGAGUUGAUAUCCUUUCCUAAAGCACAUAAAAACAGUAGACAUUUUCCAACUUAAUUUUAUGCUUUAGGUAGUAACUCAAUUCCAUUUUUCUCCUUUAACAUUUCAAUUCCAAUACAGAUGCUUCUCACCGCUGGCUUACAAAGUAAGGCUUUGUAAUUUGGA